GGUCUAUUGAUUCCUAUUCAUUAUAUUUUCAAAAUUAAUGAUAAUAGGUAGCACCUAUAUAGGCAUUUAAGGCCUUUUUUUUUUUUCAAUUUCUAUUCUAGAUAUCAUCAUCUCUGCCUACUCAUCAUAACCAAGACGUCACCAACGUAGCUGGGGCCGCAGGAUCCUGCCUUGGUUGGGUCACAGCGUCUUCUCCUGGUUGUCCACUAUGAGCUCCCCAGCACAGCCAGGUGACUCUCUGCUGGAUGCACUUUGUGUCCUUGCCAAAAUAUGAUAACCAGACUUGAAAACAGCAUGAUAGAG
rnacentral:lncRNA from 1 species